rnacentral:lncRNA from 1 species
AGUUUGACGCCCUGUCAUCGACUUUUCAAAGUUGGAUCCAUUUUUUAUUGGGAUCGACUUAUUCAAAGUUGGAUCCAUUUUUUAUUGGGAUCGACUUAUUGUCAGUCGACUUCCCUGUGAUCGACUUUUCGAGACCUUUGUCUCCUGACAGCCGACUUUUCUGGGAUCGACUUCUGAGAUCGACUUCCCUUAUUUUGCAAUUUCGAUCCUCUUAAGUCCAGGUCGACUUUUCUUGGGAUCGACUUUUGCCUUAACUUGGCCUGACUGCUAUGUUCUUUGUGCAGAUAAUGUCUUUUGACAAGAACGCACAGCAAAAUUCUUCUCCUCAACUGGAGAUUGUUACCGUCGACGUUCAGGAUGCUCCUUCUCAAUCGGAGUCUGUUCCCGUCGAGGUUCAGGACGCUCCUACUCAACCAGAGUCUGUUCAGGCUGCUCCUGUUCAGGUU